rnacentral:tRNA from 1 species
GAGGGUAUAGCUCAGUGGUAGAGUGUGUGCUUAGAAUGCACAUAUCCGGGGUUGAAUCCCCAGUACUGCCA